rnacentral:misc_RNA from 1 species
GCUGAUGACCUGAUGUACAAUUGCAAGCUUAAUCACUUUUUGUGCCUGUGCCCUUGACAUUAAACUUCAUAUCAUUCAGGUAUUGUAAAUAGAUUGUCUGCCAGAUGAACAAGAGGACAGAACAAACAUAUUCUCAGAGUAACCUGAAAUGAACACGUUACACAACCUUUUGGAGUCAGGCGAUGCUUGCAGAGAAACAGCCCUGAAAAAUCAUUAGGUUCUCAGGAGUCAGGACACUACAAUGAUCCCUUGACACCUAAAAAUAUCUUGCCCUGCAAACUCUAAACAAGCUGAGAAACGCAUCAGCCUUGGAAAAAUUGAUGAUUAUGUUGAUGAACUGUUCCAUACAGCAAGUUGCUGGCAUGUAGUUGUCAUAAAGAAUGUAACCUUUUGCACACAGUUGAACUGAAAAUCAUACUGCAACAGAAUGCUUCUUGACAAUAUUCUUCAGUAAAACCACCUUCACACUGAAGGCCAUUCUGUUUGUUACUGCUGCUCCCCAUUGAACUGGGGCCCGAAAGGAGUUGCAGUCCCGCGGAUUCGUUUCUGCAAGUGCUCCAAG